rnacentral:rRNA from 1 species
GCCUGCCCAGUGACCAAUCGUUAAACGGCCGCGGUAUCCUGACCGUGCAAAGGUAGCAUAAUCACUUGUUCUCUAAAUAAGGACUUGUAUGAAUGGCCACACGAGGGUUUUACUGUCUCUUACUUUUAAUCAGUGAAAUUGACCUCCCCGUGAAGAGGCGGGGAUAACGAAACAAGACGAGAAGACCCUAUGGAGCUUUAAUUAACCAACCCAAAAACCACAAUCUAAACCACCAAGGGAUAAAAAAGCUUUACAUGGGUUGGCAAUUUCGGUUGGGGUGACCUCGGAGCAUAAAAAACCCUCCGAGUGAUUAAAGCCUAGGCCUACCAGCCAAAGCACACUAUCACUUAUUGAUCCAAAAUAUUGAUCAACGGAACAAGUUACCCUAGGGAUAACAGCGCAAUCCUAUUCUAGAGUUCAUAUCGACAAUAGGGUUUACGACCUCGAUGUUGGAUCAGGACAUCCUAAUGGUGCAGCCGCUAUUAAGGGUUCGUU